rnacentral:rRNA from 1 species
CAGUCGCCGCGGUAAUACGGAGGGGGCUAGCGUUGUUCGGAAUUACUGGGCGUAAAGCGCACGUAGGCGGCUUGGUAAGUUAGAGGUGAAAGCCUGGAGCUCAACUCCAGAAUUGCCUUUAAGACUGCCGAGCUAGCAGGUGAGAGAGGUAAGUGGAAUUCCGAGUGUAGAGGUGAAAUUCGUAGAUAUUCGGAAGAACACCAGUGGCGAAGGCGGCUUACUGGCUCAUACUGGACGCUGAGGUGCGAAAGCGUGGGGAGCAGACAGGAUUAGAUACCCCCGUAGUCCCUGUCUCUUAUAC